AGCAGCCGCGGUAAUUCCAGCUCCAAUAGCGUAUAUUAAAGUUGUUGCAGUUAAAAAGCUCGUAGUUGAAUUUCGAGACCGGUUUAUUGGUCGUGCUUUUGUACGUACUGGUAUUAUUGGUUUCUCCUUUCUGACGAAUCAUAAUGCCAUUAAUUUGGUGUUUUGGGGAAUCAGGACUGUUACUUUGAAAAAAUUAGAGUGUUUAAAGCAGGCUCACGCUUGAAUACAUUAGCAUGGAAUAACGAAAUAGGACGUUUGAUUUUAUUUUGUUGGUUUCUAGGAUCGACGUAAUGAUUAAUAGGGAUAGUUGGGGGCAUUAGUAUUCAAUUGUCAGAGGUGAAAUUCUUGGAUUUAUUGAAGACUGACUACUGCGAAAGCAUUUGCCAAGGAUGUUUUCAUUAAUCAAGAACGAAAGUUAGGGGAUCGAAGACGAUCAGAUACCGUCGUAGUCUUAACCAUAAACUAUGCCGACUAGGGAUCGGAUGAUGUUAAUUUUUAAUGGCUCAUUCGGCGCCUUACG
rnacentral:rRNA from 1 species